UCCACCACCACCACCACCACACCACCACCACUACCACCAUUAUUAUCAUCAUCACCACUACUACCACUACACCACCACUUCUGCUACUAUUCGCAACGAUCAUAGUGCGCGAAUACCAUUGGCUAUUGCUAUUUAACGAAAGAAGGGAAAAAAGGUGGCCCGCUGAUAUAAAAAAAAAAAAUAUAAUAAAAAGGUGCCUGAACGUACUCGACUUUUUACUGAGCACACACCACCGUGGGUUUCCUUCAUCAUUUGUGUCCUUGACACGAGACAAACGGUGACUGACGUACUCGGACGGACGAUUCAUUAUUUUGUUAACAGAAUUCACGUUUGACAGGAUUUAUUUUAUUUCUAUCUUUUUUCUUAGUGAGACACAGACGAUUUUUCAUUAUUAUUAUUAUUAUUAUAUUUGAGAAGAAGGAAACAUCAGAAGAGACCCGAGAAGAAGAAAUAGAAGGAAGAGAAUUUAUUUGAAGAAAGUUGGAAGUUUCAUUUAUCGGGGACAUUUUUCAUCGAACAAUAGGGGGUUAAGGUGAUUUAAGUUGCGAAGGGUUCGAUUCUAAAUAUAA
rnacentral:lncRNA from 1 species